GUGAUAACUUUGAUUGAUGUUGUUUGUUUCGUGGUUGGAGCUGAUGGUGAUUCUAAAAUCCAAAGCAGGAGCUACCAAAAUGCUCAGAAAGGUUUAGUCUGCAUCACCCCAUCCUCCAGUAUGACCGCUGCCACCAUGCCCCAAGCGCUCUCCCGCACAGUACGACGAACACGGGGUGCUCAGCGAAAUGUCCCGUCCGUCUCCUCACCUGCAAUGCAUCAUGAAGGUGUGUAUCUGCCGACUAUCAUUGUUUCGUCGAACUAUUAUGCAUGA
rnacentral:lncRNA from 1 species